ACUUAGUUCAAGCUUACAACAAACUCCUUGGAAGUACUCUAACUUCCUGAAAUAUGGAGUUUAUGAUAAACUACCUCGGAACUUGCAAGCUAUUUUGAGUUCUUCAGGUGGUUUCUCACCAGCAAAUCCACUGUCAACCCAAGCAGAGUAGCCUCCUCCCAUGUUAUUCACAUGCUCGAAGCCCUGAAAUUUCUCACUAAAUCUCAUUAUUACUUAUCCUUUUCUUUUGCAGGUCUAGUCAACCUUGCAAAUUAGUUCUAGCAUCUCAAAUCUUACCGCGUUAAGAAGAUCGACGCAAGCACGAAGGCCUCUACCACCUCUGUUGCAAUUCUGCACAAAUAGGUAAAUAUUUUGCAAUUUGUUUCAAUAUUACUUUUAAAUCUGCAUUGGGAUAUAAAAGUAGCAACACCGAGGAAUAGUUUUUCUUCUUACCACCACUAUAUGAUCUUCCUUCUUUAAUAUGGAUGUAACUUGUGCUAGAAAGUCGGGAUUCUUUACUUGACCUGUUUAUUAGCAAACUGUCAGAUUCUAUAGGAUCAAACAUACGAGAGUUGAUCUAAGAAAAUGCAUCUAGGUCAAUGCUUAGCAGUGAAAACAUCCUAAAACUGUAGAGUUUAGUUACUUUUAGAACAAAAUCAUACAGGGACAGCUGGUUAUUACCUUCUGGGGUGAAGAACACGUAGGGAACAUUUAGUGCAUUCUCAACAUGGCCUUUGUUAUACUCUUCAACUGUCCUGCAACCAAAACCAUCUCUUCAGUUAUUUAGCUUCAUUACCUUUGAUUAUAUAUAUUUAUAUAUAAGCCGACCUAACAUCCAAACAGAGGCGACCCUUUUCUAAGAGAUCUUUGGCAACUUGAACAUCGACUGUCCUGCAGAUUGGGAGUGAAUAAAUGAGUUAAUUUCAAACUCUUUUUUUGCAUAGUAAAUGUGAGGUUACAUU
rnacentral:lncRNA from 1 species